UCCAUGCUGAGCCCCAGAAGACUUCAGAAGAUAUCCGAACGGAGGCUCUCGCCAAGGAAAUUGUCCACCAAGACAAGUCUCUGGCGGACAUUUUGGACCCGGACUCCAGAAUGAAGACCACGAUGGAUCUGAUGGAGGGUCUGUUCCCCAGGGAUGCUGGUGUGCUGAAGGAGAACGCUGAGAGGAGAGCCGUAGACAGCACCACCAGGCGUGCUGGGUGGGAAGUCGAGACGAGCGACCACAAGGAGGCAGCGGGUGUGCUGGUCAACUGCCCUGCGUACUACAGUGUCUCUGCUGCCAAGGCGGAACUGCUGAACAAAAUCAAAGACAUGCCGGAGGAGCUGCGGGAGGAGGAGGAGCAGGAGGACGUCAAUGAGAAAAAGGCUGAGCUCAUUGGAAGCCUCACCCACAAGCUGGAGACCCUGCAGGAAGCGAAGGGGAGUCUGCUCACGGACAUCAGACUGAACAAUGCCCUGGGGGAGGAGGUGGAGGCCCUGAUCAGUGAGCUCUGCAAACCCAACGAGUUCGACAAGUACAAGAUGUUCAUAGGCGACUUGGACAAGGUGGUCAACCUGCUGCUCUCCCUGUCUGGACGCCUCGCCCGAGUAGAGAACGUCCUCAGUGGCCUUGGUGAAGACGCCAGUAAAGAAGAAAGGAGUUCUCUGAAUGAGAAAAGGAAGGUUCUGGCUGGCCAGCAUGAGGAUGCCCGGGAGCUCAAGGAGAACCUGGACCGGAGGGAGCGCGUGGUGCUGGAUAUCCUGGCCAAUUACCUGUCCGCCGAGCAGCUCCAGGACUACCAGCACUUCGUGAAAAUGAAGUCCACACUCCUCAUCGAGCAGCGGAAGCUGGAUGACAAAAUAAAGCUGGGCCAGGAGCAGGUCAGGUGUCUGCUGGAGUCGCUGCCCUCAGACUUCAGGCCCAAGGCAGGGGCCAUCUCCCUGCCCCCAGCCCUCGCCAGUCAUGUGACUCCUGGGGGGGGCCCUGCAUUCGGUGGCGUUUUCCCAACGUUGACCUCUCCUCUUUAACCUCUCCUGAAAGACCCGAGCAAAAGAUGCCACUCUCAACACUGUUGAAUCUGAAAGAUAUUUCACCACCAACCACGGUUUGAGUUGUGGGUUAUUGGGGGCUUCCUGAGGAAACGGAAGAGACUAUCCAGGAGUCUUUGUGCCUUUCACAGUUGGUCUUCUACGAGCUUGCACACAGCGGGAGCCUUUCCACUCUGUGGGAGGAAAGCCGGUGACACUGAGAGAGACCCGAUGAAGGGUGUCUGAUGUGCAGGUUUCCUCAGGCCAAGGUGUCGUAGAGGAAGGUGUGGCGCCCUCAGGAAUGUAUCGGUGGCCUUCCUUGCUGGCGGGCAGUGCACCCUGACACAAAGCCUUAAAAAGACAUGCGCGCGCACACACACACACACACACACACACACACACACACACACACACACACACAAAGAAGACUGUUAACCCCUGAACAUUUUUGUUAUUUAUAUUUUUAAAAAUGAAAAAGAUCAUUGUUUGUGUGCUAACCACUUAGUUGAUUCUGUUUUGCGGUGGAUGUAGACAAUUAUGUUUGAGCGUUGUAUUUCGCGAAAACCUUAAUGAAGAAUUCCAAAGAUAGUCAAGUUGAAUAUGGAGAUUUUUGUGGGGUUUUUCUUCUCAUUUGCUCUUUGAAAAAUCUAUUUGGUGUGUAUGUAUUUGAUACUGGGUGGCUGUGAGUGCCGCAGGUUACGUGCAGAAUUAGACAACUUUAUGUGGGUUCUGAGGCUUGGACCUCGGCCAUCAGUCUUUUCAUCCACUCAGCCAUCGUCAGAUGGUAAUAAAGACCAGUGGCCAUUCUACACUUGUGUUACACCGUGAGAGGUCUCAGUUUCCAUGGCGCUCAGGUCUUGCCGCAUUUCUCCAGGAGGACGACUCAGUGGUGACUUCUCGGGCUGUUCUCCCCCUUCAUUAGUUUAUUGACAGAGACAAAGGUUCUCAAACCUGAAGUCUAAACCAGUUCCAAACCAAAUCCAUGCUGCCAACUGAUACAGGAAAUACACUUACUACGCUACAU
rnacentral:lncRNA from 1 species